GGAGUGGUACUCAAGAGGUCGAAGAGGGCGCACUGCUAACGCGUUAGGACUGUAACAGGUCGCGAGGGUUCAAAUCCCUCCCGCUCCGCCA
rnacentral:tRNA from 1 species